rnacentral:misc_RNA from 1 species
CCCACAUCCAUCCCACCAUAACAUAAAGAAAAUGAGUCACUAAUAACAUCCUUUUCAACAAGCUGGUCUACAACACUGAGCCGACCACGACCCAACCCCAUUAUUCCAUCAGCACGUUGGCUGAAAAGGUCACCAGUUUCGACAUUUUCACAGCCAAAAACAGCGUGCUUAGGUGUGAGCUCACUUUCAUUUCCAAAAGAAAUAACAUCCUCAGCAAGCACACCACUGCUAGAACUCAUCUCAGCAUACCGUCUCUCAUAAGUGCAUUGCUUUCCCUCGUCAUCACAGUUACAACUGGGAUUGCACUUUAUAGGUUUGUAGGUGCUAGAUGCCUCUGGUUGGAACCUUGGAUCCUGAUGCUUGCCGCA